UACGUAGGGGGCAAGCGUUGUCCGGAUUUAUUGGGCGUAAAGAGCGUGUAGGCGGCUUUGCAAGUCCGUUGUGAAAACUCGAGGCUCAACCUCGAGACGCCGGUGGAAACUGCAAAGCUAGAGUCCGGAAGAGGAGAGUGGAAUUCCCGGUGUAGUGGUGAAAUGCGUAGAUAUCGGGAAGAACACCCGUGGCGAAGGCGGUUCUCUGGGACGGUACUGACGCUGAGACGCGAAAGCGUGGGGAGCAAACAGG
rnacentral:rRNA from 1 species